CUUCUGAAGAGCACACCGACACAGAGGAAUUGGAUGAAGAAAAACUUCAGUGUCCUAUCUGUAACUUGAAAUUUGCACCUUAUUUCCUUGAAAUCCAUGCAAGCACAUGCGGAGAAAGAAGCAAAAAUGUAAUAGACGUGGAUGAAAUUGAGGAGAACAUAGUAGAAGAGGACCAUAUGAAAAGUGUCGACGAUGUGUUGGAUGCGAUUUGUCAAAGAGUUGAUGUGGAGAAGCAGUUCAGCAUCCUUAUUUCAAGAACAAACAUUCUGGAGAGAGGCCUUCUGCAGUGGCAACGUCAAAAAAAAAAUUCACCCACUGCCAUGUUGAAGGUGUCCUUCUU